GACGAACGCUGGCGGCGUGCUUAAUACAUGCAAGUCGAACGGAAAGGCCCUGAUCUUGUGGGUUGCUCGAGUGGCGAACGGGUGAGUAACACGUGAGUAACAUGCCCUUGACAUUGGGAUAAAUUUAGGAAACCGGGGCUAUUAUAGGAUAGAAGCUCCUGAUGCAUGGUGGGGGUUGGAAAGUGUCGGCGGUUGGGGCUGGAAUCGCGGCUUAUCAGCUUGUUGGGGGGGUAGUGGCUUACCAAGGCUUUGAAGGGUAGGCGGCCUGAGAGGGUGGCCGGCCACAUGGGGACUGAGAUACGGCCCAGACGCCUACGGGAGGCAGUAGUGGGGAAUAUUGCACAGUGGGCGGAAGCCUGAUGCAGCAACGCCGCGUGCGGGAUGACGGCCUUCGGGUUAUAAACCACUUUCGCCGUUGACGAAGCGUGAGUGACGGUAAUUGGUAAAGAAGCACCGGCUAACUACGUG
rnacentral:rRNA from 1 species